AUGGAGUCUGCCGAUGUAGCCCCUGCCAGCUAUGUCACCUUUGCUUCCUUCUUCCUGAAGGGACCCGCAGGUCAAUGGUGGGACAGCCACAGGCGUACUCUGCCAGCUGGAACAAUCAUCACCUGGCCAGACUUCCAAGCUGCUUUCCGUGCUCGCUUCAUCCCUCAGGGAGUCAUGGACCGGAAGAAGCGUGAGUUCCGCAACCUCACCCAAGGCAACAAAACUGUUGAAGCUUAUCAGCGGGAGUUUCUGGACUUGUCCCGCUAUGCUGAAGAGGACAUUGCAACUGAUGCCCGUAGACAGGAGAAGUUCCGUGACGGCCUUCAAGCUGACAUCAAGCUCGCACUUCUAGUGCAUGACUUUGCUGAUUUCGCCACCUUGGUGAACAAGGCCAUCAAUGUCGAAACUGGUCUGCAGGAAUACCAGAGCUCUCACAGGCGCAACCGUGACAUGGGCUCAUCUUCGGGCCCGCCCUCGCAGAAGCGUAAGAUAUGGAUCCCGAACAACAUGUACCGUCCAAAUGCAUCUGCCCCAAGGCAGACCUAUGCUGCACCUCGUCUGCCUCCACCACCAUCUAGGCAGCCAAGACUUCCAGCUCCACCAUCCCAAGCUCCUGUUCCCACUCCCAAUAAUGGUCUGUGCUACAGGUGU
rnacentral:rRNA from 1 species